rnacentral:tRNA from 1 species
GGCCCCGUAGCUCAGUUGGUUAGAGCGCCGCCCUGUCACGGCGGAGGUCGCCGGUUCGAGUCCGGUCGGGGUCG